CACUAUAAAGCUUUAAGCAAGCGACGAUCUCUUAAAUCGUUUAUAUUGGCGUUGCGUUCAUUCUUAGUGA
rnacentral:tRNA from 1 species